UUAAUCUCUGUCUUUUCUCACCUAGGACAGAUAACUUCUAGCUAUAUCCAUCUUUGCUUAUUUUGGACCACAGGAUUCAAGCUCACAGAUGUGAAGACUCUUCUGGCCGGUGUACUCACCCAAAACCCAGCAGUAGCGAGGCAGGAAGGCUCUAAUCUGUGCCUUUUUACUUUUUUUUUUUUAAUAUCUCUGUUCUCCUUGGGCUUCUCUCUUGUUAAUCUAUGUCUUUUUUCUCACCUAGGACAGAAGGCUACUAGCUAUUACCAACUCUACCUGUUUGGGGCCUCUGAGUUCAACUUCAUGGAAAUAGAAUCUCCCUCAGUCAAUGUCCCCCUCCCAGACCUUCUGCUAGCCAGGACAGAAAGCCACUAUUCACUUCAACCUUGACUGUUUUGGGCUCCUGGGUCCAUUUCAUGGCUCUGAAGUCUUCCUCAGCCAGUGUUUCCCUCCAAGAUCCAGUGCUAGCCAGGACAGGAAGCUGCUAGACAUUUUUACCUUUUCCUGUUUUGGGCCUCUGCAUUCAACUUCAUGGCUGGGCAAUCCUCUCAA